GGCCCACUCUUUCAAUUAUUACAUAUCACAAAUGUAUAGGUUUCCUAAACCUAUUAUCCGUCUUCUCCGCCGCAUAUCUGGUUGCCUCAGCUAUUCUUCUGAUUCAGAAUUUUGAUGCUUCUUCUGUGGUUUAUCAACCAGGUGUUUUUGUCUGCAGCUGUUUUUAUGCUGAUCAACUUUCAAAAGUUGGUUCUUCCCCCCUUUUUGCUUCCUUUUCUUAUUCUCAUUCUCCAUUAAUGGUUGCUGUGAUUUCUUCAGGUGUGUUCUCCGCUGGAUGGGAUGAAGCUUCUCAUUUUGUUUUGUGUUGAAGUAAACAGGACCCUGUAUUCUAUCUGAGCUUUGUGUAAGUCUUGUCCCUUCAACUUCAUUAAACUUUCAUCCUUGUUCUGAUUACUUGCUCUUCUUUGUAGUUGUCGAAGUGCUGGAGAUACUGGAAUUUUCGGAUCCACUUGCAAGUAGCCUGACCUAUUUUAUCCAGGUGUUUUACUCGCCAACAACUUCCCUGACCUUCUCUUUUUGCCGAAAAUCCUUUUUGAAGGCUGUGGUAAAUUAGGCUAAGAUCUAUCAUUCUCAAAGUAAUGUUGUGUAUUUUUGAACACUAUAGCCUGCUUAGUCCAAUGACUCUCUUGCUGCUCUUAUCCUUAUGUAAGGACACUCUAGUUUGUCACUAUUUAGUAUCUUUCUACCUUGAGACUGUAGUUGAUGAAAGUUUGUGAUUGCAAAAUCUCCUCUGUCAAUGGCAAGAUUUGUUAGAUGAUCUACCAACUGAUUGCCUUCCCUCAUAAUAUGUUGAUAUUGAACUUGCUUAUUCUGCAUUAACUUUCAUGUGUGUUCAACAUAUUCUAUUACAUGCCAAGGACACUUCCAUUCCAUGCUCAGUAUAUUCUGUAUUAACAUUGAAUCAGUUUGUAUGAUUAGCUUUUCCUUCUGUGUUGCAUUAACAUGAAUAGCUGCUUGUAAAAUUGCCUUUGCCUCUGCUUCCACAUUAGAGGUAUCUUCUAUUUUAGCUCCUUCUGCAUAGAUUAGAUCUCCAUUUUCAUUCCUUACACAAAAAGCAUAAGAACUAACCCCUCGAUUGCCUCUAGAUGCCCCAUCAGUAUUAUAAAUCACCCAACCAGAUUGAGAAAUCCCACAUGACCAUUGUAAUCUUCAUUUUAGGCUCCUUUCCUUGUAACUCUUUAAGAAUAUCAAACCAGCUACUAGGAAAAGUUCCUCUUGGGUUUCUUACUUUAAGUAAUAGACCCACAUUUCUUGUAACAUUAAAGAUUACUUUAUGCACAAACAUAUUUUUUCCUUCAUGUUUCAAGCUGUUUCUUCUCCUCCACAGCUCCCAUGUGAUCAUACUUGGGAUGGAUUGAUAGUAAGGCUUGAUUCUUCCUUUGACUUCAUUUGUCCACCAAGUAAGAAUGGUUUCUCUAAGUGAUACUACUUGAUUUAGAAUAUCUGCACAUGAAGCAAAAUAGGACCAAGUCCUGUUGGCUAAUGAUGAUCUAAGAAACACAAGGGAAACUGUUUCUUGAUCAGGCUGCAUACAACACCAACAUUUAAUUGGUCCUUCAACCCCCCAUCUUUUCAUCAUAGCAUCUACUGGCGCCUUUCCUCUCCAUAUUCUCCACAUUAAGAAUGCCAUUUUGAAUGGUAAGCCUGUAACCCAUAUAGAGUUAUAUAUAGCAUUUCUUUCUUGCUUCUGCCUGAUAUACUCUCAUGCUGAUUUCACAGCUGAAUUUGCCAGAAGUUUCCAAUCUCCAAAUAGGGAUAUCCCGUCCAUCUUCUUCAAUUCUGGGCCUUAUUUUAUCUUUAAUAUAUGUAACAACCUCCAUAGGUAGAAUCUACAUCAACAAAGGUUCAUUUCAUUGAAUACCACCAAUUAGCUCCCUAACCUGCUUCAAGCUUUCUGUACCUCUCUGUAUCUGAAGAAUAUUUGAUAAAUCCUCAAUAUCUGUCCAAUUAUCCAACCAUAUAUUAUCCUGACCGCCUCUGUUUCUCCAUAAAAUUUGGUGGUCCACCAAAUCUCUAGCCUGCAACAUUUUCUUCCAUAGUUGAGAUCCUGCACCAAUCUUCCAGAAAAUUUCAUUAGGAUGAUGCUUUCUACAGUAUUUGUUAUGUAAGAACCUACUCCAUAUGGAAUCCUUAGUUCUGAAAUUCCACUAUAGUUUACAAAACAAAGCCAUAGAAACAUCUUGUAACCUUCUGAAACCCAACCCUCCUUCCUCUGCUGGAUAGCAUAAUGAACUCCAUCUCACCCAGUGCCUAUUUUUCUCCCUAAUAUGAUUGCUCCAAAAGAAUUGGGCAAACAUUUUCUGAACAACAGAUAAUACAUUAGCUGGAGGAUUCAUGACAGAAAAACAAUGGAUAGGAAUACUUUGGAGUACACUCUUAAUUAGGACAGCCCUACCACCAUAAGAUAGUAGUUUUCCUUUCCACCCUUAUAGUUUACUGCUUAUCUUCUGCAUAAUUGACUGAAAGUAAUCUUUCUUCUUCCUCAUAUGAAAAAUUGGACAUCCUAAGUAUGUAAAUGGAAAAUCCCUUUUGUUUAUACCUGUAGCAACUUCAGCCAUUAUCACAUUGCCUUGAGAGACUCCUUUGUGCAUGUAAAUUGAACUCUUCUCUUUAUUAAUCUUCUGACCUGACACCUUUUCAUACUUAUCAAGAGUAUCUGUUACUUUCUUUAGAGUAGUCAAAUCAGCUUUGCAAAGUAUAAUCAUGUCAUCAGCAAAAGCAAAGUGGUUGACUUUUGAACUCCCCCUAGGCAUCCCAAAUAGUUUAAAAUUUUUAGUAGAUAACAGUGAUUUAAGAGCUCAGGACACAACCUCAGCUGCUAGAAUAAAGAGUGUAGGUGAUAAAGGGUCUCCUUGCUUUAAACCCCUCGUAGACCUGAAGAAUCCUUUUGGUUGUCCAUUCAACAGAAUAGAAUACCAAUUGGUUACCAAGCAAUCUGUACACCCUGUCAAUCAAAACUUCAGUAAAGCCUAUUUUCCUUAAAACUUUAGUUAGAAACAACCAAUCCACUCUGUCAUAAGUUUUCAUCAUGUCUAACUUUAUGACUAUGUUAGGAGUUUUACCUAUUUUUCUGAUAUCAGCCACAAUCUCCUGUACCAUCGGUAUAUUCUCCGCAAUACUCCUUCCUUGGACAAAACCUGCUUGUUCCUCUGAAAUAACUUUUGGUAACACAUUUUUAAUUCUCUCAUGAAGAAUUCUAGAGAAAUUUUUAUUCAUAAAAUUGCUCAAUGAUAUAGGUCUCAAAUCAGAAAAUGUAUUAAUUACUAACUUUUUAGGUAGAAGAACCAAAUUUUGGUAAAUCAUACCCACAAAAGAAAGCAAUCACCAUUUUGUACAAAUCUUCCUUUAUAAUUUCCCAAGCAUCCUGAAAGAAUGCUUCAGUCAUGCCAUCAGGUCCUGCCGUACUGCUUUUGUUCAGCCCAUUACUGCAUCUUCGACCUCUUGCAUUUCAGGAACCUUAUCAAUAUCUGCAUUCUGCCUUUCAUCUAAAAUAGUAGGAAGUUCUUCCAACAUAUUGAAGUCAGUCUGAUCUUCUUCUUUAGCAAACUGCUUCUGAUAGAACUGUGUGGCAGCUUCUGCAAUUUGAUUAGGCUCAUCCAACCAUUCUUCAUUAUCAUUUUGAAUUCUAUUCAACUUAUUUUUCUUGGAACUCCUUGUUUGCAUGCUAAUGGUACCUUUUAUAGCACCAUUAUGUUUCUUUUUUUGAAUUCCUUGUUUUUAUUUUAGUCUAUCUAUCUGCUUAGAAGACAGAUUCCCAUCAAUUCCCACUCUAUCAGUAGUAUCCUCCAAAUCAACUUCAUCCAUUAAUGUGUUAUCUUUGUUACUGCAUGUUAUCUGCUGCUCCACCUGGAUUGCUAAUGGCAUAAUAUACUCCAUUACACCCAUAUCAUCUUUAUCUUUUUCUGAUUGGAUUAUAGCUAACUGCAUAUUAUCUUGGUCACUGUUUUCUGUGACUUGUUGACUAACUGAUGCAGAACUACCAUAUAAAUCCUUCUCAGUAUGUUGAGAUUGUUUACUCACAUCAUCUGCUGCUGUUUCCUUUGUCUUUUCUUUAUUAGGCUAAAUAAAAGUAUUAUUAACCCAUUCUUUUGUACUCUCUAUGCUAAUCUGUGGGUUUUCUACCUUAUCACUUUGAUCAUUUUGGUUAUUUUCCACAUCAAUCUGAUCAUCAGCAAGUGCCUCAAAGGUAUUAGAGACUGGCAUCUUAUUUGCUUCCUCCUCUAUCUGACCCAAUAUGCGCCCAGAUUUGUCUUUCUUGUACUUAUUCUGUCUCAAGAGCCAUUGUUGUUUAUAUAUUCUCGUUCUUCUUUGCAUAUUAUUCUCUUUUGCUGCAUUAUUUUCCUGGGCACCUUCAUUCUGAUCCUUGUUAUCUUCUUUAUUCUCUUCAUUCUUCUUUUCCAUUAACUCUGGAUGUACAUUCCAACAUGAAUUUUCAUCAUGCCCUUGUAAACAACAUUCCUUGCAAUACUUGGGCUUAUAAUCAUAUUGAAUAUGUACUCAUUUGAAUUUGAUUUCUCCAGUAACAUCAUCCUCUUUAUUAAUCCUAACUCUCGUUGUCAAGUUAGCUACAAGAUCCACUUCCACUUUCACUCGCGCACAGCUAGGUCUUGUUUGGUUUUUAGUAGCCAUAUCCACCAUCAAUGGUUUCCCCACUGCUGAAGCUAUUGAAAAGAUGGCUUUUUUUGCAAAAAAAUUGGGUGGUAGAUCCGGCAUUGAAAUCCAAGCAACUCCUAUGGUUGAUUCUAUAUCAGGAUCAAGCCAAGGAUCCCAUUUUAUAGUUAUCAUCUGCCACAACAUGUCUUUGGCUUUGAUAUAAAAUGCACCUGUAGACAUUAGGUUAACAUAAUCUUCUAGAAUAUUUAAUCUAAUAAGAAUAUGUCGUGCAUCCAAUACUCCAAUAUUGCAAUCACCUUUGAUAUUACAUUGCACUGGUAUUUCUUUCCGCAACUCCAUGAUAUUAGGUUUUCCAUACGAAAGUUUGCCAAUGAUAGCGUAUUGCAAAUUUUCUUGUAUAAUCAAAUCUCUUAAUUCUGAUGAUUUCCAAGUGAUACUAGGUUCACCAUGCAACAUUACCACUGGUUUGGAUAAUAUUUUGCGUAUUACUUUAUCAGCCUAUUUCUCUUUCAAUAAACUUGCAUAAGAAGCCUUCUUAAUUACAUCCUUCUCCAUACGUCCUUCUAUAUCCUUUUUCAUAUGACCCACCGGACGUGGUAGCCAUGGUGGCCAACGUGUAGGCAAACUAUGUUUAGGAUUACGAGUAGGCAAACUACGGUUGCAAUUCUCCGUCUGACACAACCUUAACCAGUAUUACACUAAGGGACUAUCUUACAAGAGAUCCAUAUAACAAGGUGAGAAAUAGGCAACGUAAACUCGAGGAGAAAAUGGAACACACCAAUACAAACAGCUGCCAAAACUGCAGAAGAUGAUGGACCAACCUGCAUAGUCACAACAUGAAUCUAAUUAUACAUAUAAACCCUGAAUCUUCGCCUAUUUACAGGUCCUUGUCGAUUUCAAUCAAUGUAACGUGGCUUUGAAUCCUCUCAAUUGAUAUCUUUACUAUUUUCUUAUUGUCUUCUCGUCUUCCCAAUUGUUCUCUUGUAGAAUGCCAUGGUUUAGAGGUGCUUGAUUUCUCACAUCUAUCUGCUUCAUGGGAUAAAGGCUGAAGACCUAGUAAAUCCUGCUCAGGUGCAC
rnacentral:lncRNA from 1 species